rnacentral:lncRNA from 1 species
AUGAGUCCCUCAAAGGUUGGAAACAGAUUUCUCUCUCCCCGACAGGUGAAGAAGGGAACAGGUGACGAGGUCUCAGUGAUCACACCACAACCCAGCUGCUCUGCCGAGCUGCCCCACAUGAGGCGGCUGGUCCCACAGCCCAGGGGCCACAACCUGGAGCCCAUGGAGAUGACCCCCCAUCCAGCCUCACCUCCCUCAAACACCAGCCCCUCCUCCAGCGUGGAUCUCCCCGACUGCUUACCAGAAGAGGAGCGAGCGAUUUCUCCAUUCUAUAUGAGUAAUCACCUAUCUCCAAUACACUGCAGACCCGAUGUCACCAAGUAAGUUCACGUCACGUCACUCAGAAAAUAACAACAACACGGUACCCUGAAUGACCUAUUCUAUAGCUUUGAUGUAUGUAGACCUACAAGAUACAUCUCGGACUUCCCAUAUGUACUGUUUGUUCUCUUCUCACCCAUAGUUUUCUAGACCGCACCAUACGGGCAGCGGUACAACAGCAUCUCUUUGAGAUAAACUCCCUUGACUGUCCCCGUGUACCGGGACCUGGUUUGCGGGGACCUGGUUUGCCGGAAACUGGUUUGCCAGAACCUGGUUUGCACGGACGUCGUUGGACGGCACCUGCUUUGCAGUUUCCCCAAGAGGAUACUACUUGCUUUAGUCCUCCGCCGUGGACGUCUAGUGCGAGGCAGAGACGUCGGCAGAAGAGAGAGCAGAGGGAAGAGGAGGAGGGCGAGAGGGAGCCAGAGAGAAGCAGGUAUGGUUCACCUCUUGUGGUCUCAGCUGUUGGUUCAUGUUGGUGUUCCAUUGGUGCCAUGUGGGUACUUUCCUCAGAGGUGUCAGUGUAGGGAAAACAGAUUGGUUUUGGGAGGGGGUAAAGAUUAGAGGGAAACAGGGUAACUGUUAGAUGGUUGGGAUUAGUGCUACAAGUUCAAAGAGUUUGGGUUCAAAUCCUUUCCAAUCUGUUCUAAU